rnacentral:lncRNA from 1 species
CCAUCAGCAAUUUGCUCAAGUUUUGAAAAACAUCAUUAAAACAAAGGAUGCAAACGUUGGAAGACCCAGUCCCAAACCUGCAGCCUACCUACCACAGGCCCCUCCUCUUUCCAAAUCAAACACAAGAGUCGGAGGGAAGAAAGGGAGAGAGCCUUUGUAACACCCGUG